GAAUCUGAAUCCAAAAAAUAAGAGAGACAGAGAGCGAAUAGUAUGCGUUAAUGGCUCAGACCAAAUCGAGCUCAAGAGUCGAUCAAAGUCAAGUACCAAAUAAAUGGCCAGAAUUUCAAUGCGAGACCUCUUUCGAAUCAGACUCAGAAACACCUCUCUCAGCCAACACCGCCCUCCUGUUCUAGCCCCUCCCAAACAGAACUACCUCUUUUCAGCUCCAUACUCCUCUUCUUUUCCUUAUAUUAAAGAUAGGCCCAACUCUAUUUAUCACCCAAGUGUUGAACUUCUCAAAUCAUGUCAAAACACAAGACAUCUCUUUCAAGUCCAAUCUCAGUUGAUCACUCGUGGGCUAUUUCCCUUUUGGUCUUCUAGGCUUCUAAAACAUUAUUCAGAUUUUGGUAAUAUUGAUUAUACCAUUUUGGUUUUUAGAUAUAUUGAUUCGCUACGUACUUUUUGUGUAAAUAAUGUUAUUAAGGCAUACUCACUCAGUUCUAUUCCACAGCAAGCUGUGGUUUUCUAUUUUGAGAUGCUGCAAAUUGGGUUCUCUCCAAAUAGUUAUACUUAUGUUUCACUCAUUGGUUCUUGUGCAAAGAUAGGGUGUGCCCAAUCUGGGCAAAAGUGCCAUGGGCAAGCUUUAAUUAAUGGGGUUGAUCGUAUUUUGCCAGUUCAGAACUCAUUGAUUCAUUUCUAUGGUUGUUGUGGGCUUGUAGAAUUUGCUAGGAAGGUGUUCGAUGAAAUGACUCAAAGGGAUUCGGUGUCUUGGAAUUCAAUUAUUAAUUUGUAUGCGGGCAUUGGCGAGUUGGGUGUUGCUCAUGACAUUUUUGAUGUAAUGAUCGAGAGAAAUGUCAUUUCAUGGAAUACCAUGAUUAAUGGAUACUUGAAGGGUAAUAACCCCGGGUGUGCAUUGAUGCUAUUUAGGAAAAUGAUGAAUAGUGGAUUGCGAGGAAACGAUAGAACUAUAGUUGGUGUGCUUAGCGCUUGCGGUAAAUCAGCUAGGCUAAAAGAAGGACGUUCUGUUCAUGGCUUUUUAAUCAGAACGUCCCUGAAAUUGAGUAUAAUUCUUGAUACAUCUUUGAUAGAUAUGUAUAGUAAAUGCCAGAAGGUGGAACUGGCACGGAGAAUUUUUGAUAGCAUGUUACAUAAGAAUUUGAUUUGCUGGAAUGCAAUGAUUUUGGGCCAUUGCAUUCAUGGAAAUCCAGAAGAUGGGCUUAAUUUAUUUGCAGAAAUGAUAUCAGGAGAUGGAGAAGCCAUUCCCGAUGAAGUUACUUACAUAGGGCUUCUUUGUGCAUGUGCUCGAGCAGGAUUGUUGACGGAGGGCAGAAACUUUUUUAGCCAAAUGAUGCAUAAGUAUAGUCUAAAGCCAAAUUUCGCACAUUACUGGUGCAUGGCUAAUCUUUAUGCCGGUGUUGGCCUAGUUCAAGAAGCAGAAAAUAUACUAAGGAACAUAGCAGAGGGUGAUGAGAAUGUGUUAUCAGAAUCCUUGGUUUGGGCUAAUUUGCUCAGUUUAUGCCGUUUCCAAGCAAAUGCCACUUUUGGAGAAAGGAUAGCAAAAUGUCUAAUAAAUAUGGAACCUUGGAAUUUCUCGCACUAUCGGUUGCUGCUCAAUGUCUAUGCUGUGGCAGGUAAAUGGAAUGAUGUUGCUAGGGUAAAAGAGAUGGUGAAAGGAAGAAGGAUGAGAAGAAUGCCAGGGUGUAACCUUGUGGACUUGAAAGAAAUUGUUCACAAUUACAGAGUGGGGCAUUGUUUGCAAGAGGGAAUUGAAGAAAUCAACAUGAUGAUAGAUGAAGUGGCUGAAAGACCAAGUUCGUGAAUUGCUGGUUGAGAACAACGGACACUGAGCAUGUCAUGCCAUGUACUGGAACUUGACCUCAAAGGCUACGUGGGUGAGGAAGGUAUUGAUAUCCCUCUGCUAAAGCAAUUCCUGAAAUAGGCAUACCUUCUCAUUUCGUCAGCGAGAAUGUUUUAUUAAUAAAAAUUUUGUAGUUGGUUGAUAAGGAUAGUAGUAGGUCAUUUUUUGAACUUGAUAAAAGGGCUUGUCAAGAAAAAAAGUUCCAUUAACAGAAUGGAAUUGUAACCACACGAUUCCAAUUGAUUAAAGAUUCAAACACAAG
rnacentral:misc_RNA from 1 species